rnacentral:rRNA from 1 species
AGCAGCCGCGGUAAUUCCAGCUCCAAUAGCGUAUAUUAAAGUUGCUGCAGUUAAAAAGCUCGUAGUUGAAUUUCGGGACCAUCAUGUCGGUCGUGCCUCGGUACGUACUGGCAUCGUUGGUUUCUCCCUUCUGACGAACCAUGAUGUCAUUUAUUUGGUGUCGUGGGAAAUCAGGACUGUUACUUUGAAAAAAUUAGAGUGUUUAAAGCAGGCUCACGCUUGAAUACAUUAGCAUGGAAUAAUGAAAUAGGACGUUUGAUUCUAUUUUGUUGGUUUCUAGGAUUGACGUAAUGAUUAAUAGGGAUAGUUGGGGGCAUUAGUAUUCAAUUGUCAGAGGUGAAAUUCUUGGAUUUAUUGAAGACUAACUACUGCGAAAGCAUUUGCCAAGGAUGUUUUCAUUAAUCAAGAACGAAAGUUAGGGGAUCGAAGACGAUCAGAUACCGUCGUAGUCUUAACCAUAAACUAUGCCGACUAGGGAUCGGAGGAUGUUAAUUUUUUAAUGACUCA